rnacentral:tRNA from 1 species
GCAGGUGGAGCUCAGUUGGUAGAGCGCUUGCCUAGCAUGGCUGAGACCCUGGGUUCGAUCCCCAGCCCUGCA